AGAGUUUGAUCCUGGCUCAGGAUUAACGCUAGCGGCAGGCCUAAUACAUGCAAGUCGAGGGGCAGCAUUGUCUUCGGACAGAUGGCGACCGGCGAACGGGUGCGUAACACGUAUGCAACCUACCUUUUACUGGAGCAUAGCCCGAAGAAAUUCGGAUUAAUACUCCAUAAUACAGGGGGCCCACAUGGGUCUAUUUGUUAAAGCUCUUUUGCGGUAGAAGAUGGGCAUGCGGCCCAUUAGCUUGUUGGUAAGGUAACGGCUUACCAAGGCUACGAUGGGUAGGGGGUCUGAGAGGACGGCCCCCCACAUUGGUACUGAGAUACGGACCAGACUCCUACGGGAGGCAGCAGUGGGGAAUCUUGGACAAUGGGCGCAAGCCUGAUCCAGCCAUGCCGCGUGAGUGAAGAAGGCCUUCGGGUUGUAAAGCUCUUUCAGCGGAGACGAUGAUGACGGUAUCCGCAGAAGAAGCCCCGGCUAACUUCGUGCCAGCAGCCGCGGUAAUACGAAGGGUGCGAGCGUUAAUCGGAAUUACUGGGCGUAAAGCGUGCGUAGGCGGCCGUGCAAGUCAGAUGUGAAAGCCCCGGGCUUAACCUGGGAAUUGCGUUUGAAACUGCGGGGCUGGAGUUUGUCAGGGGAAGAUAGAAUUUCGUGUGUAGCGGUGAAAUGCGUAGAUAUACGAAAGAAUACUUAUAGCGAAGGCGUUCUUCUGGGGCAAUACUGACGCUGAGUCACCAAAGCGUGGGGAGCAAACAGGAUUAGAUACCCUGGUAGUCCACGCCGUAAACGAUG
rnacentral:rRNA from 1 species